rnacentral:rRNA from 1 species
UACGGAGGAUGCAAGCGUUAUCCGGAUUUAUUGGGUUUAAAGGGUGCGCAGGUUGUUUGAUAAGUCAGUGGUGAAAGUCUGUCGCUUAACGGUAGGAUUGCCAUUGAUACUGUUGGACUUUAAUAUGGAUGAGGUAGGCGGAAUGUGUAGUGUAGCGGUGAAAUGCAUAGAUAUUACACAGAACACUGAUUGCGAAGGCAGCUUACUAAUCCAUCAUUGACGCUGAGGCACGAAAGCGUGGGGAUCAAACAGGAUUA